CACACUAUCAUUAACUGAAUCCAUAGGUUAAUGAGGCGAACCGGGGGAACUGAAACAUCUAAGUACCCCGAGGAAAAGAAAUCAACCGAGAUUCCCCCAGUAGCGGCGAGCGAACGGGGAGGAGCCCAGAGCCUGAAUCAGUGUGUGUGUUAGUGGAAGCGUCUGGAAAGGCGCGCGAUACAGGGUGACAGCCCCGUACACAAAAAU
rnacentral:rRNA from 1 species